ACAGGACACAGCUUUGCUCUGCUGGGAUCUCUCAGAGGGAGCUGGCUGCCUCCAGUUCCUGAAUACCAUAAACAAAGCUCCAGAUUCACUUGGAGUCCUGUUACUGUCUGGCUGCAGGUCAGCUGAGGUGAGGGCAAUGCUUCACCAUGCAGUGAAGACUGGUCACUCACAGAGAAAUCCACCACUCCCUGCCUCAGAGGCAGCAAAUGAGACUCGGUAAUCUUCUGCUUGAGACACCUGCCUGGAAGAACAGAAUACUGGAUCUAGUCAGGGAAGGGAAGAGGGCUCAUUGUAAAACUUCAGAAACCUUCACUGUACCCAGGAGCCCAGCUGUGCUGGGGCAGGACAGAUGCACCACCCACAGCAAGCACUCCCUGAGAGGGCAGCAGAACACGCGAAUGUGCAACCCAACUCUCCCUUUGAAACAGACUGAAGAGCACAGGCCGCCGCUGUUUGCAGGUACUCCCUCUGCUCUGAGCAAUACUAACACGUUUAUUUUUGCCACAUAAUGCUCCUGAUUACCGCUAAAAAUAAAAAAUAAAUCGCUGCUCUGUGGAACAGCAUCCUUAGAUUGCUGUCAUUGCUUCUGUAAUGUUCUCAGGAAAGGAAAGAACACAGUUUAGUCCUGUCCAAUCCUUCCUGUUUAUCCCAUACCUGGCUUUUUUGUCUCCAUUAUUUUC